GGCUGUAAUGCCACAGUAACCAUCCUGCUGGCUUACUUUCCAGCACGUGGCUAUGUCCCUUGCUGUGUCCCACUGUCUUCCAAUCAGUCGAAUGCCUGAAGAAGAAAAAACAUCACAGUCACAGGCAUGGACAAAGUUGGCCAUUGUUGUUCAACUGAAUGGAAGCCUCUAAUUUGCCUAGACAUGGAAGAAGAGAACAGAUCAAGUUCCUUGCACCCACAUGUUUGGCCCUGAUGGCGGAUGCAAAAGGACAGUGAAAGCAGAAGAGACACCUCACACGCCUACCGCCAUCGCGGAUGGGAGCGGGGUGAGGGG